ACGCGAGCUGGGUUCAGAACGUCGUGAGACAGUUCGGUCCCUAUCCGUCGCAGGCGUAGGAAAUUUGAGAAGACCUGUCCGUAGUACGAGAGGACCGGGAUGGACGUACCUCUGGUGUACCAGUUGUCCUGCCAAGGGCAUGGCUGGGUAGCUAUGUACGGAAUGGAUAAGCGCUGAAAGCAUCUAAGCGCGAAGCCAACUUCAAGAU
rnacentral:rRNA from 1 species